UACGGAGGAGGCAAGCGUUAUCCGGAAUGAUUGGGCGUAAAGCGUCCGCAGGUGGCUAUGUAAGUCUGCUGUUAAAGAGUCUAGCUCAACUAGAUAAGAGCAGUGGAAACUACAAGGCUAGAGUACGUUCGGGGCAGAGGGAAUUCCUGGUGUAGCGGUGAAAUGCGUAGAGAUCAGGAAGAACACCAGUGGCGAAGGCGCUCUGCUAGGCCGUAACUGACACUGAGGGACGAAAGCUAGGGGAGCGAAUGGG
rnacentral:rRNA from 1 species